GAACGCGAAGAACCUUACCCGGGCUUGAACUAACGGUGACGAAUCUAGAGAUAGAUUUUUCUUCGGACACCGUUGGAGGUGCUGCAUGGUUGUCGUCAGCUCGUGCCGUGAGGUGUCGGCUUAAGUGCCAUAACGAGCGCAACCCUUCUCCUCGGUUGCCAUCGGGUAAUGCCGGGCACUCCGUGGACACUGCCAUCGUAAGAUGUGAGGAAGGUGGGGAUGACGUCAAAUCAGCACGGCCCUUACGUCCGGGGCUACACACGUGUUACAAUGGGGGGUACAGAAGGCCGCUACCCGGCGACGGGAUGCUAAUCUUUAAAACCUCUCUCAGUUCGGAUCGGAGUCUGCAACCCGACUCCGUGAAGCUGGAUUCGCUAGUAAUCGCGCAUCAGCCAUGGCGCGGUGAAUACGUUCCCGGGUCUUGUACACACC
rnacentral:rRNA from 1 species